GGCUCAGGACGAACGCUGGCGGCGUGCCUAAUACAUGCAAGUCGAACGGUCUUUCUAUGGAAGCUUGCUUCCACUGAGAAGAUAGUGGCGAACGGGUGAGUAACACGUGGGUAACCUGCCCAUAAGAGGGGGAUAACAUCCGGAAACGGGUGCUAAUACCGCAUAGUUUUCUUGAUCGCAUGAUUGAGAAAGGAAAGACGGCCUUUGUGCUGUCGCUUAUGGAUGGACCCGCGGCGUAUUAGUUAGUUGGUGAGGUAAUGGCUCACCAAGACGAUGAUACGUAGCCGACCUGAGAGGGUGAUCGGCCACAUUGGGACUGAGACACGGCCCAAACUCCUACGGGAGGCAGCAGUAGGGAAUCUUCCGCAAUGGACGAAAGUCUGACGGAGCAACGCCGCGUGAGUGAAAGAAGGUUUUCGGAUCGUAAAACUCUGUUGUCAGGGAAGAACAAGUUGGAGAGUAACUGCUCCAGCCUUGACGGUAUCUGACCAGAAAGCCACGGCUAACUACGUGCCAGCAGCGGC
rnacentral:rRNA from 1 species